UCACCGACAGCUUCAUUCAUCACCAUCAUGAAUCAAUCAGUCAAGUUUUUAAUCACUAAAGAUUUCGUUGACUUCCAAUGACAGUAUGACUCCAAUCCUCUGUUUUCAAUUCUGCCGGCCUGCAAUUGAUUGGUCGCUUUCUUUUAGGAUAGUCCGCGCGUCAGGUGAUUCGAGGGUUGAGGUGCAGUGAACCGUUUUUGGAUCUGCCUGUGGUCGAUCUUCACGCUGCUUGUGUAUUUGUUUGCCGUCGGCGGGUUCGCCCGGUUCGCUUGUGCUUGUUUCGCUUAUUCAGUUGACAUUUUGAGUAUAAAUUUUCCGGUGGUCUUCCAUUGUUCCAGCGGUUUAUCUUUGUCUUUUCUUUUAUUUACCUCUGCUUUUUUUUUUUUUUGCCUUUUUUUGGUCCCUUAUCUUUCUCUGUGGGUCCAUAUCCUACCGUAACAGAUAGCGCUCAUCGUUUUGCCCUGUUUUCCUCAUGAAUCGCUGUUUCCAUUCUUCUUCAUUUUUCGUCCGCCCCUUUCAUUUCGUCCUCCCCCUCCCAGUGAUACUCGUUGAAUCCCCACAGCUUUUGCAGUAAUGAUCUCGUUAUUGUCGCUCCCUUUUUCCAACGAGACUUGUAGAUUUCUUGGGCCAUAGUUUAAUUUUAAUUCAAUGAUCAUGGAUGACGGGAAAAAAAGAACAUAGCAAUGGGAGGAACCAUGCUCGGGAAUACUCUGUGUAGUUGGUUGAAGCGGCUUGGUAAUGAUUCAGCUAGCAGUUCUGAUGAGUGAUGACAGUUGCCGCCCUCUUCAGAAAAUGCCAGCUCCUUUUCUGCGGCCAAUAUGUCCUGAUGACACUUUGGUUGCGUCUUGAACCUUUAGAGGAAUUCCACUUUGAUGGGAGGGUUGGAGUUUUGUUAGAGGCUUAUGAUGUAAUUCCUGGGAGGGGGCUUGAAGCAAUGAAAGAAGCUCUGCAAAUGAAUUUUGAAUAUGCGAAUUGGGAGGAAUUGGUCGACUAUGAAAUAUUGCUAUACAUUGCUUGUCCUGUUCACGUUUUUUUUUUAAUCUUUUAGCUUUAUCUACUCCCUCCGUUCAAAGAUAUAAAAUAUUUUUUGAGAUGUUGGAUAUUAAAAAAUGUAAAGCAUUUUUAGUUUUUCGAGGUGUAGUCAUUGCCUUUUUUUCAAAAGCGCUCCUAUUGAUAAUGACUUUACAUUUAUUAUAAAGUGUUUGAUGGAGAUAAAUAUAAAAAGAUAGGGUUAGUUGAAAAGUAAGUAACUACUUUAUUGGGGGGUGAGAUUCGGUUGAAAAUGUCUUACAUUUUUUAACGGAGGGAGUAUCAAUUAUCAAUUCUAGGCUUCUUUUUUUCAAUUCUUUUUUUUUUUUGUAGAGUUUCUCGUAAUUUAUAUUUAUUUGAAGCUGAUUUAGUUUGAGCAAGCUAUGUUUGAAGUAUUGAUGAUGCUCCUUCUGUUUGUGUGUGUGUGUGUGUGUGUGUGUGUGUGUGUUGUAUCCAAAUGGUUUGUUGGUCCUUUUUCUGCUGAUUUUUCAUCUCAUUUUAGUAUAAGUUAGUUGGCGUCUAGUGAUUUGUUAGCUACAUUUAUUGAUAGAAUUCUUUGAUUUACUGUUUUCCCAUUUUGUAGAUAUAAUCAUGAGAGUGCACUCUCAUUGGCAAUUUGCAUUCUUGAUGAGCUUAUCUAGAUGGGUAUUAGAAAUGGGAAGUUGUGUUAAGAUGUCAUUUGAUUUUCUUAGACAUGAGAAUCUUAUACUGAUGCUGAGGUUGCAAUCUCUGAGUAUAAGUUGUUAGCUUUGUAUCUUUGUUUUUGAGCAAACAGUUUCUUUUGGUUUGGGUUAUGCAGGAGCUGAGGACUAGAUCAUGCCCUGUGUUAUCUGCAUCUUUUUCUGCUGGGUCGAAAGUUUGCUUGUACAAAGUAGUUCAGUAAUUUCAGUCACUUGUUCUAAUCUUUGGUAUAAAGAAUUUAUUUUGACUUUGUAUCUUCUGCUGGAUUAGAAAUUCCUGAUCUUAUAGCUUUACAUGUAAA